UUACCUGCAAGUCGAGCGGUAAGGCCUUUCGGGGUACACGAGCGGCGAACGGGUGAGUAACACGUGGGUGAUCUGCCCUGCACUUCGGGAUAAGCCUGGGAAACUGGGUCUAAUACCGGAUAUGACCUCCUAUCGCAUGGUGGGUGGUGGAAAGAUUUAUCGGUGCAGGAUGGGCCCGCGGCCUAUCAGCUUGUUGGUGGGGUAAUGGCCUACCAAGGCGACGACGGGUAGCCGACCUGAGAGGGUGACCGGCCACACUGGGACUGAGACACGGCCCAGACUCCUACGGGAGGCAGCAGUGGGGAAUAUUGCACAAUGGGCGAAAGCCUGAUGCAGCGACGCCGCGUGAGGGAUGACGGCCUUCGGGUUGUAAACCUCUUUCAGCAGGGACGAAGCGCAAGUGACGGUACCUGCAGAAGAAGCACCGGCUAACUACGUGCCAGACCCCCCGGGUAAUAA
rnacentral:rRNA from 1 species